CUAGCGUUGCUCGGAAUCACUGGGCGUAAAGCGCACGUAGGCGGCUUUUUAAGUCAGGGGUGAAAUCCUGGAGCUCAACUCCAGAACUGCCUUUGAUACUGAGAAGCUUGAGUUCGGGAGAGGUGAGUGGAACUGCGAGUGUAGAGGUGAAAUUCGUAGAUAUUCGCAAGAACACCAGUGGCGAAGGCGGCUCACUGGCCCGAUACUGACGCUGAGGUGCGAAAGCGUGGGGAGCAAACAGG
rnacentral:rRNA from 1 species